GUAUGGUAACUGUGAUAAGGUUAGGAGGUACAACGGAUCCAUGUACCAACCCAAUGGCAUUUACUAAUCUCAACCGAAGAUCUGCCACAAAUGUAAGGAACCUUACAACCACUCCACUAUCUGAUAGAUUUAUCACAGAAGGAUGGUACGGACAACGUUAUGUUAAAAUAUCUAAUUCAACACCUGGUAUUAAUCACUGUGGUACUGUUUAUCCUAUCUAUUUACAAGGUGCUGAUCCGGUAGCUGGUCCCGUAAAAAAUAGAACAUUUUGUGUGCAUACUCGAAGUGGCCCUUGUGCUCGAACCAUCCAGAUAGAAACCAAACGUUGUGAUAAGUUUCUGGCAUAUAAUCUAAGACGAACAUUUUCUGGAUAUGCGUCUUAUUGUGUUGGUACGUAUCUUCUUUUUUUGUAAGCCAAUUUAGAGUCAUAUCUUUCAUUUCAUACUUAAUAGGUUUUAUAUUAUCAGGCAUUGAUUAUUCCAAAUAAUCAUAGGGACCAUUAACACACUAGACAUAGGGUGGGCCACAGCCUCAAAUAUAUGUGUUGAUGAAGAAAUGAACGAACGUGCCGGAAUAUUACAUUUCAAUUACGUAAGAUGUGCAUUUAUUGAACGCAGAAAACAAUCGCCAAAAUGGACAUUCGUGUGACAAUAU